UUCCCAAGCAACCCGUCCAAACAAAGAACUAUCUACUUCGGUUUCUAUACCAACCCAAACCAACAUCACCAUGUCUCCCUGCACCUGCAACUGCUGCUCCGGCGAGUGCAACUCCUGCGCUUGCAACAGCUGCUCUGUACGCCACCGUUCCUU
rnacentral:sRNA from 1 species